rnacentral:rRNA from 1 species
GACGAACGCUGGCGGCGUGCCUAAUACAUGCCAGUCGAGCGAGCGGAACUAACAGAUUUACUUCAGUAAUGACGUUAGGAAAGCGAGCGGCGGAUGGGUGAGUAACACGCGGGGAACCUGCCCCAUAGUCUGGGAUACCACUUGGAAACAGGUGCUAAUACCGGAUAAGAAAGCAGAUCGCAUGAUCAGCUUUUAAAAGGCGGCGUAAGCUGUCGCUAUGGGAUGGCCCCGCGGUGCAUUAGCUAGUUGGUAAGGUAAAGGCUUACCAAGGCGAUGAUGCAUAGCCGAGUUGAGAGACUGAUCGGCCACAUUGGGACUGAGACACGGCCCAAACUCCUACGGGAGGCAGCAGUAGGGAAUCUUCCACAAUGGACGCAAGUCUGAUGGAGCAACGCCGCGUGAGUGAAGAAGGUUUUCGGAUCGUAAAGCUCUGUUGUUGGUGAAGAAGGAUAGAGGUAGUAACUGGCCUUUAUUUGACGGUAAUCAACCAGAAAGUCACGGCUAACUACGUG